ensembl:lncRNA
GAACAGGCUUCUCUCUGGGUCUCCAUUUCCUAAUCAAACAGAGAGGGAAUGGAAUUAGAAAGUCAGCAUGCGGACCGAGGAAGAAAUCCUGGAUCUGGAGUCAUCGAGAUGAUCUUUAAAUGUCAUUUCUGCUUCUUAUCACCAGUGUGGCCUUGGACAUUUCAUCUGAUCCCUCUAGUUCUCCCUUAUUUCCUUCGUUAAAUUAUGGGACUGGAUGAAGUGACUUCUUAGGUGACUUCUAGAUGAACAUCUAUGGUCCCUUGAUUCAGGCCAGAUAGAAUCUAUGAGCCCCCAAGGAACAAUGACACAGCCAAGACCAACCAGCCAGGAGUAUGCCUCAGUGCUCAGGCGUGGUGACCCACUUCCAGGCAGCCCUCGUGCCAGCAUCUCUGUUGAGUGUGCCAGUUACAAUGUGGACGGCAGCAAAUGGAUUGAGGCCACCCAGCAGAUGGUAAUAACUUUCAGUUACUGCUCCCUGGGCUUGACUGGAACCAGUGACCUGGAGGUAACUGACUGGCCAUUAUCCUCUACUCUUUCAGUUUUGCUCAUAGUAUUGGCAACUCAAUAG